CUGGGCUCGAAGCACAGUGGACCGGGGUAGAAAUAUCCCUUUUCGCAAGAACUGCUGUGGAGGUGCUGCAUGGCUGUCGUCAGCUCGUGUCGUGAGAUGUUGGGUUAAGUCCCGCAACGAGCGCAACCCUUAUCGUUAGUUGCCAUCGGGUCAAGCCGGGCACUCUAGCGAAACCGCCCCGGAUAACGGGGAGGAAGGUGGGGAUGACGUCAAGUCCUCAUGGCCUUUAUGUCCAGGGCUACACACGUGCUACAAUGGUCGGUACAAACCGUCGCAAACCUGCGAAGGGGAGCUAAUCGGAAAAAGCCGGCCUCAGUUCGGAUUGGAGUCUGCAACUCGACUCCAUGAAGCUGGAAUCGCUAGUAAUCGCGGAUCAGCACGCCGCGGUGAAUACGUUCCC
rnacentral:rRNA from 1 species